GAUGAAGGAACGCAGCGAAAUGCGAUAAGUAAUGUGAAUUGCAGAAUUCAGUGAAUCAUCGAAUCUUUGAACGCACAUUGCGCCCGCCAGUAUUCUGGCGGGCAUGCCUGUCUGAGCGUCAUUUCAACCCUCAAGCAACUUCUGCUUGGUGUUGGGGAUCGGCCGUCAAACGCCGCCCCCGAAAUCUAUUGGCGAUCUCGCUGUAGCUUCCUAUGCGUAGUAGUAACAUCUCGCACUGGGAAACAGCGCGGCCACGCCGUUAAACCCCCAACUUCUGAACGUUUGACCUCGGAUCAGGUAGGAAUACCCGCUGAACUUAAGCAUAUCAAUAAGCGGAGGA
rnacentral:misc_RNA from 1 species